rnacentral:tRNA from 1 species
GAGGGUAUAGCUCAACUGGUAGAGUGCAUGCUUUGCAUGCACAAGGUCCUGGGUUCAAUCCUCAGGACCUCCU